rnacentral:rRNA from 1 species
UACGGAGGGGGCUAGCGUUGUUCGGAAUUACUGGGCGUAAAGCGCACGUAGGCGGAUCCUUAAGUCAGGGGUGAAAUCCCGAGGCUCAACCUCGGAACUGCCUUUGAUACUGGGGAUAUCGAGUCCGGGAGAGGUGAGUGGAACUGCGAGUGUAGAGGUGAAAUUCGUAGAUAUUCGCAAGAACACCAGUGGCGAAGGCGGCUCACUGGCCCGGUACUGACGCUGAGGUGCGAAAGCGUGGGGAGCAAACAGG